UAUGUACAUGACUACAAUGUUAAUGCACCGGAUCCUAUCAGAACUCUGCAGUUAAGCAUGCUUGCACCGGAGUAGUACUGGGAUGGGUGGCCUCCUAGGAAGUCCUAGUAUUUUACAUGC
rnacentral:rRNA from 1 species